GAUGAACGCUAGCGGCAGGCCUAACACAUGCAAGUCGAGGGGUAACUAGAGUGAUAGCAAUAUUACUUUGGCUAGACCGGCGCACGGGUGCGUAACACGUAUGCAACCUACCUUAUACUGGGGAAUAACUUCGAGAAAUCGGCGCUAAUACCCCAUAACAUUGCGAAGAGGCAUCUCUUUGCAAUUAAAGCUCCGGCGGUAUAAGAUGGGCAUGCGUCCAAUUAGCUAGUUGGUGAGGUAACGGCUCACCAAGGCUACGAUUGGUAGGGGUUCUGAGAGGAUGAUCCCCCACACGGGUACUGAGACACGGACCAGACUCCUACGGGAGGCAGCAGUGAGGAAUAUUGCGCAAUGGGCGAAAGUCUGCCGCAGCCAUGCCGCGUGCAGGAUGACGGCCCUAUGGGUUGUAAACUGCUUUUGUACGGGAAUAAACCCUUCUACGUGUAGGAGGCUGAAGGUACCGUAAGAAUAAGCACCGGCUAACUCCGUGCCAGCAGCCGCCGUAAAAC
rnacentral:rRNA from 1 species